UACGAAGGGGGCAAGCGUUGUUCGGAAUUACUGGGCGUAAAGGGCGCGUAGGCGGCUUAUCAAGUCAGGCGUGAAAUUCCCGGGCUCAACCUGGGGGCUGCGCUUGAUACUGAUUGGCUUGAAUGCGGGAGAGGAUAGUGGAAUUCCCAGUGUAGAGGUGAAAUUCGUAGAUAUUCGGAGGAACACCGGUGGCGAAGGCGGCCACCUGGUCCGGCACUGACGCUGUAGCGCGAAAGCGUGGGGAGCAAACAGG
rnacentral:rRNA from 1 species